rnacentral:lncRNA from 1 species
ACUGUCUUAGUUCAUUUUCUGCUGCUAUCACAGAAUACCACAGACUGGGUAAUUUAUAAGGAACAGAAGUUUAUUUGGCUCAUGGUUCUGGAGGCUGGAAAGUCCAAGAGCAUGGCACUGGCAUCUGACAAAGUCAUUCCAAGGUGGAAGGCAUCACAUGGUCUCACUCUGUUGCCCACGCUGGACUACAGUGGCAUGAUCUCAGCUCACUGCAACAUCUGCCUCCCAGGCUCAAGCAAUCCUCUUACCUUGAAGCAGAAGAUGCAAGAAGAAAAAAAACAAACUUUCUUCCUUUCCUGUGGCUUUUAGAAAAACAGUGGCACCACACCACACCCAGGACCUGGAAUAGGUGGAAUGGCAGCCCCUCAAAAUAUAUGUCCAUGUCUUAAUGCCGAGCCGCUGUGAAUGUGGCCUUAUUUGGAGAAGGGGUUUUUGCAGAUUAAUUAAAUUAAGGACCCUGAGAUGAGAUCAUCCUGUAUUACCAAGGUGGGCCCCAAAUCCAAUGACAGAUGUCCUUAUAAGAGACACAGGAGGAGAAGACACAGACACAGAGGAGAAGGCCCUGUGAAUACAGAGGCAGAAACUGGAGUACGCAGCCACCAUUCAAGGCAUUUGGUCAGCCACAGAAGCUGGAAAAGGAAGUGGAAUCUCUCCUAGAGCCUGUGGAGGGAGCACAGCCUUGCCAACACCUCGACUUCAGAUUUCUGUUUUCCAGAACUCUGAGAGAAUAAAUUGCUGUUGUUUAAGCCACUAAGUUGACAGGAAUUUGCUAUGGCAGCCCUAGGAAACUCACAUAACACCACAGCCAGGCUUCCAGUCUCUCACCUGAAAAAGAGAGGUCCAAACACAAACAGCGUGGCAGGGAAUGCUAGAGAUGCCCUCAUAACACUGGUGACAAACUAGACGAGAUCUUUCAAACCCUCACUCUGAAAGACAACUAGAAUAGCUAGGCCUUACCAAUUUCCAACUAGGAUUCAUGACUGAUGGAAUCAGGUUUUACAGUUCCUAAUUUUUCCAAGUUUUGAGUAGUUUUUUUU